rnacentral:rRNA from 1 species
CCCUUAGAGUUUGAUCCUGGCUCAGGACGAACGCUGGCGGCGUGCUUAACACAUGCAAGUCGAACGAAGAGCGAUGGAAGCUUGCUUCUAUCAAUCUUAGUGGCGAACGGGUGAGUAACGCGUAAUCAACCUGCCCUUCAGAGGGGGACAACAGUUGGAAACGACUGCUAAUACCGCAUACGAUCUAAUCUCGGCAUCGAGGAUGGAUGAAAGGUGGCCUCUAUUUAUAAGCUAUCACUGAAGGAGGGGAUUGCGUCUGAUUAGCUAGUUGGAGGGGUAACGGCCCACCAAGGCGAUGAUCAGUAGCCGGUCUGAGAGGAUGAACGGCCACAUUGGGACUGAGACACGGCCCAGACUCCUACGGGAGGCAGCAGUGGGGAAUCUUCCGCAAUGGACGAAAGUCUGACGGAGCAACGCCGCGUGAGUGAUGACGGCCUUCGGGUUGUAAAGCUCUGUUAAUCGGGACGAAAGGCCUUCUUGCGAAUAGUUAGAAGGAUGACGACC